rnacentral:rRNA from 1 species
GGGGGGGGGGGGGGGGGGGCGGGGGAGGGGGAGGGCGAGGGGGGGAGGGGGGCGUGCGCCUGGAUUCAGCGGCGGACGGGUGAGUAAUGCCUAGGAAUCUGCCUGGUAGUGGGGGAUAACGUCCGGAAACGGGCGCUAAUACCGCAUACGUCCUGAGGGAGAAAGUGGGGGAUCUUCGGACCUCACGCUAUCAGAUGAGCCUAGGUCGGAUUAGCUAGUUGGUGGGGUAAAGGCCUACCAAGGCGACGAUCCGUAACUGGUCUGAGAGGAUGAUCAGUCACACUGGAACUGAGACACGGUCCAGACUCCUACGGGAGGCAGCAGUGGGGAAUAUUGGACAAUGGGCGAAAGCCUGAUCCAGCCAUGCCGCGUGUGUGAAGAAGGUCUUCGGAUUGUAAAGCACUUUAAGUUGGGAGGAAGGGCAGUAAGUUAAUACCUUGCUGUUUUGACGUUACCAACAGAAUAAGCACCGGCUAACUUCGUG